AGCCAAUGAUGAUGUCAGGCUAAUGAUCAAGCGGCGGGAUUUAGAAAAUUCUUUGUAAUCUUGGUGAACGCCACGAGUCUAGGCUGUAUUCACUGUAAGGCCAAAGAGACAAUAAAUCGGGUUUGACCACGAGCCCUUUUCUUGAGUUCUAUCAAAAGGGUUUAAUAGCUAGGUGCUCGAAACCCGGACAUUACGCGCUCAUGAUCAUUCCUCCUCGUCAUUUUUAUCGUCCAUUCGUUUCUCGAUGUUACAGUCGAUUAUUUCCGGUACAGAUAUCCUAAAUUCAUUCUCAUUAAAACUCAGUAUCCUGACAACGAGAAAAAUCCCGCCGCAAAAAUGAUAAUUCUUUAGUAAUCUGAGGCUU